rnacentral:rRNA from 1 species
AUUGAACGCUGGCGGCAGGCCUAACACAUGCAAGUCGAACGAGUGGCGGACGGGUGAGUAAUGUCUGGGAAACUGCCUGAUGGAGGGGGAUAACUACUGGAAACGGUAGCUAAUACCGCAUACCAUCAGAUGUGCCCAGAUGGGCUUAGCUUGUUGGUGGGGUAACGGCUCACCAAGGCGACGAUCCCUAGCUGGUCUGAGAGGAUGACCAGCCAAACCGGGACUGAGACACGGUCCCGACCCCUAAGGGAGGGAGACGUGGGGAAGAGUGCACAAAGGGCGCCAGCCCGAUGCAGCCAAUCCGGGUGGUUUAAAGAGGCCCUCGGGUUGUAAAGUACUUUUCGCGGGGAGGCGUUACCCGCAGAAGAAGCACCGGCUAACUCCGUGCCAGCCGCCGCGGUAAUAC